AUUGAACGCUGGCGGCAUGCCUUACACAUGCAAGUCGAACGGCAGCACGGGUGCUUGCACCUGGUGGCGAGUGGCGAACGGGUGAGUAAUACAUCGGAACAUGUCCUGUAGUGGGGGAUAGCCGGGCGAAAGCCGGAUUAAUACCGCAUACGAUCUACGGAUGAAAGCGGGGGACCUUCGGGCCUCGCGCUAUAGGGUUGGCCGAUGGCUGAUUAGCUAGUUGGUGGGGUAAAGGCCUACCAAGGCGACGAUCAGUAGCUGGUCUGAGAGGACGACCAGCCACACUGGGACUGAGACACGGCCCAGACUCCUACGGGAGGCAGCAGUGGGGAAUUUUGGACAAUGGGCGAAAGCCUGAUCCAGCAAUGCCGCGUGUGUGAAGAAGGCCUUCGGGUUGUAAAGCACUUUUGUCCGGAAAGAAAUCCUUGGCUCUAAUACAGUCGGGGGAUGACGGUACCGGAAGAAUAAGCACCGGCUAACUACGUG
rnacentral:rRNA from 1 species